rnacentral:rRNA from 1 species
UACGUAGGGGGCGAGCGUUAUCCGGAUUCAUUGGGCGUAAAGCGCGCGUAGGCGUCCCUUCAAGCGGCACCGUCGAAGCCGGGGGCUCAACCCCCGGAAGCGGGCCGAACUGGGGGGAUCGAGUGCGGUAGGGGAAGGCGGAAUUCCCGGUGUAGCGGUGAAAUGCGCAGAUAUCGGGAAGAACACCGACGGCGAAGGCAGCCUUCUGGGCCGCCACUGACGCUGAGGCGCGAAAGCUGGGGGAGCGAACAGG